rnacentral:rRNA from 1 species
AGAUAGUAUUAAUAAUAUAAAUCUAUUUAAUUUGGCGGCAUUCAAUCUUACUAGAGGAACUUGUUACCUAAUUGAUAAUCCACACUACAUUUCACUUAAAUUCUAAAAUUUAUAUACCGCCAUCCAAAGAAUUAAUUACAAAAUUCUAUUCCUAAUAACAUAAUAAAAAGUUAGGUCAAGGUGUAAUCAAUAUUUAAGAUACUAAUGAGUUACAUUAAACACAAUUUAAGAAUUAUUUUAUACCAUAAAUAUGAAAAAGAAUUUACUAGUAUUUUAAAAAAAAAUAAUUUUAAAAGAAAAAGAUAAUAAAUGUGC